GAGCUCUGCGGCCGAGGGAGUGGGGCCGGAGCGCCGCGCGAAAACCAGCGACUCCAUGGCGAGCAGGAGUACAACACCCAGUGUGCUACAAGGCACACAAAAGGUGCUCCAUGGAUGCUUAUGAACUGAAGGAAUGGAUGUGCGAUGGAAUCCAAAGACGAAACUAAAAACACCUACAUGUGAUUGGGCCCACUCCAUUACCAGCUAUCUGGCCAUGGUCGGCGGGGAGUCAUCUGCAACCUCUUCUUGGACCUUCUCACCCCUGCUCCAGCUUCCUUUGACUACAAUCUGAAUUCCCAUCUAGGUCAUGUGAAGAUGGAGGCAGAGAUUGGAGUUAUGCUGCCAUAAGCCAAGCAACACCAAAGAUUACCAGCAAACACCAGGAGGUAGGAGGAAGCACAGAAGAAUCCUGCCCUCCCCACCCCCACCCUGGGAGCCUUCCAAGAGAACACAGCUCUUCUGACAUCUUGGCUUGAGACUUCUAGCCUCCAGAAUUGUGACACAAUCCGUUUCUGUUUUAAGUCACCUAAUUGUGGUGUUUUUGUUAGAGCAGCCCUAGGGAACUAAUACAUAUUGUCAUUUUGAUCUGC